rnacentral:tRNA from 1 species
GCCUAGGUAGCUCAGCUGGGAGAGCGUUAGACUGAAGAUCUAAAGGUCCCCGGUUCGACCCCGGGUGUGGGCG